rfam:Gossypium arboreum cultivar AKA8401 contig_5841_5, whole genome shotgun sequence.
UGUAGAAAACUUCAUCCAUUUCUACUAUUAAAAACUGGCGUGGCUAACGGAAUAACCAGACAAAUACACAUGGUGUGCCACGUGUACCUUAUGUUGACGUACAAGGACCAAUUUUUAACAGAAAUGGAUGAAACUUUUAACA